AUUGAACGCUGGCGGCAGGCCUAACACAUGCAAGUCGAGCGGAUGAAGGGAGCUUGCUCCUGGAUUCAGCGGCGGACGGGUGAGUAAUGCCUAGGAAUCUGCCUGGUAGUGGGGGAUAACGUCCGGAAACGGGCGCUAAUACCGCAUACGUCCUGAGGGAGAAAGUGGGGGAUCUUCGGACCUCACGCUAUCAGAUGAGCCUAGGUCGGAUUAGCUAGUUGGUGGGGUAAAGGCCUACCAAGGCGACGAUCCGUAACUGGUCUGAGAGGAGGAUCAGUCACACUGGAACUGAGACACGGUCCAGACCCCUACGGGAGGCAGCAGUGGGGAAUAUUGGACAAUGGGCGAAAGCCUGAUCCAGCCAUGCCGCGUGUGUGAAGAAGGUCCUCGGAUUGGAAAGCACUUUAAGUUGGGAGGAAGGGCAGUAAGUUAAUACCUUGCUGUUUUGACGUUACCAACAGAAUAAGCACCGGCUAACUUCGU
rnacentral:rRNA from 1 species